UACGUAGGCAGCAAGCGUUGUUCGGAAUUACUGGGCGUAAAGAGUGUGUAGGCGGUGUUCUAAGUUUGUCGUGAAAUCUCCCGGCUUAACUGGGAGGGUGCGGCGAAAACUGGAAUGCUAGAGGAUGGGAGAGGUAAGCGGAAUUCCUGGUGUAGCGGUGAAAUGCGUAGAUAUCGGGAGGAACACCAAUGGCGAAGGCAGCUUGCUGGGACGGUACUGACGCUGAGACGCGAAAGCGUGGGGAGCAAACAGG
rnacentral:rRNA from 1 species